rnacentral:sRNA from 1 species
UUUAAAUUCUAGAUAUUUACUGUUUCUCUUAGCAGUGUGAGGUUAAUGAUGUUAUACCUAAAAUUUUUUGAUCUCUAACAGUGCUGCUGAUACUACUUUUUGUUUUUUAAAGGAACUUUGUGCUUUAAUGUUUUCCCUGGAUUGGAUUAAAGCAAAAACAGAACUUGUAGGCCCUGCUCAUCUGAUUCAUGAAUUUGUGGAAUACAGACAUAUACUAGAUGAAAAGGAUUGUGCAGUCAGUGAGAAUUUUCAGGAGUUUUUAUCUUUAAAUGGACACCUUCUUGGACGACAGCCAUUUCCUAAUAUUGUACAACUGGGUCUCUGUGAGCCGGAAACUUCAGAAGUUUAUCAGCAAGCUAAGCUGCAGGCCAAGCAGGAGGUCGAUAAUG